AUGUAGCAAAUGAGGAAUUUCCUAUCAAAAUGGGUAAUUUGCGUCUGAAGUUCAUAUAUGAUGCUAAAUUCACCUUUGGAGAUCUGAUGCUUUUC